UACAGAGGUCCCAAGCGUUGUUCGGAUUCACUGGGCGUAAAGGGUGCGUAGGCGGUUGGGUAAGUCUGAUGUGAAAAUCUCACAGCUUAACUGUGAAACUGCAUUGGAUACUAUCCGGCUAGAGGAAUGGAGGGGAGACUGGAAUACUUGGUGUAGCAGUGAAAUGCGUAGAUAUCAAGUGGACACCAGUGGCGAAGGCGAGUCUCGUGGACAUUUCCUGACGCUGAGGCACGAAAGCCAGGGGAGCAAACGGG
rnacentral:rRNA from 1 species